GCGGAAAUAGCUUAAUGGUAGAGUAUAGCCUUGCCAAGGCUAAGGUUGAGGGUUCAAGUCCCUUUUUCCGCU
rnacentral:ncRNA from 14 species